GGACUGGCGUGGUGUGGAUUGCUUGUGGAUUAUCAAGGCCAGUCGCUUGAAAAUGCAUAUAAAUAGUGUGCCAAAUAAAAACGAAAACUUGUGGUAUUGAAAUGCAAAAAUGGACUCUGGCGUGCAUAUGAUACGCAUGUGUUUGGCGUGCAUAUAAUACGCAGUUUUUUCAUGCAUAUAAUCAGAAAUUUGUUGGCGUGUAUAUGAUGUGCAGGUUUCACGUUCAUAUGAUACGCACAAACCUAAACCUACCCAUCGUGUUGUAUAUGCACGCCAGAGUCCAUUUCUGCGUAUCAAUACCACAAGUUUUUGUUUUUAUUUGGCAUACUAUUUAUACGCAUUUUCAUGAGAGUGGCCUCCUCAUUUUGAUGGCACCCAUUCACUGCAGAGCAUCCACUGAUCGUUGUUUGAGGUCCUCCGUGCUUCGUGUCUGUCUUCCACCUGUUCUACUUCGUCGUGUUCUUUUUCCAGUUCGGUCAGCCUUUCAUUACCAGUCAUCGUCAUGGAUUAUCACCACCACCACCUCCACCAGCGCACUCAAACACCUACUCAUCUGUCUGUGCUGCCGUCGAGGUCCCUACGUCACCCACCAUCAUCUCCUUAUCAUUACUCAACCUAAAUAAAUAUCCAUUACUCGCAUUUGCCUCCUGUCCUUACUCGCAGCCGUUACAGAAUGAUCUGACCAACUAUGGAGGCAGCGAGUAACCCAUCAUCUGCCUUGGAGGAAUUGCACAGCACCAUUGCUCGGAGGAUGGACUCCCAGGAGAGGAAUCUUAACGCGCGGUUCAGGCUUUGGUGGCGCAGGUGUCCGAGCUCACCCAACAAUUACAGCUUCUACAAGUUCCCACUGCGCCGCUCAUACCGCCCGUUCCUCCCACACCACCGGAAACCCCCUCCCAGCCGGAACCAUGUCUCCCCAUUCACCCUACUCGGGUGAGCCUAACUUUUGUAGAGCUUUCUUAACCCGAUGCGAUAUGCAUUUCUCUCUCCAACCUAGAACCUUCUCCAAUGAACGAGCCAAGGUAGCUUUUGUUCUGACCCUGCUCACUGGGAGGGCAGCAUUAUGGGGAACGGCGGUGUGGGAAAAUCAAGAUUCAUGCUGCGCCUCCUUCCAUACACUCUCCGCCGAGAUGAGGCGGGUCUUUGAUCGGGCCGUCGCCGGGAGGGAGGGGCGAGGAUGCUAGCCAGAAUUAUGUCAGGGUGAAAGAUCCAUCUCAGACUAUUCCAUCGAGUUCCAUACUCUGGCGGUGGAGUUUCAUUGGAACGAGGAGGCGCAGUGGGACAUGUUCCUGCAUGGGCUGGCUGACCGCAUCCAGAAGGAAAUCUACACCCUGGACCUUCUCACUUCACUCAAUGGGCUCAUCGAACUGGCGCUGAGGGUAGAUGCACGUCUGACGCGAGUGGAGCGACGGAACCUACCCAGCUCCACACCUAAGGCCCAAUCAGACGUGCGAGUCAGCGGCGGGGACACGGCCAGCCCCUCCUAUGAUCACGAGCCCAUGCAGGUAGGGCGAGCUCGGCUUUCCCGGGAGGAGAAGGAGAGGCGGAGGUCCCUGGUCCUGUGCCUCUAGUGCGGGGGGACCGGUCAUCAUGCCUACAUCUGUUGGGUAAAAGGGCCAAGCCCGGUAGUAAGUAUGAGGCUACUAUCGGGUGGGAUCUCCGCCGAGAAGACCUCAUCAUCAUCUAUGCUCCUCCCGCUAAGACUAAGAUGGCCAGCACAGAUUCACAACUGUCAAGCACUACUGGACUCUUCAUGGAAAUUUCAUGGACAAAACACUAGCACAUAGACUUCACAUUCCCCUCCGACCCCUCAUGCACCACAUCACGGUUCACGCUCUAAAUGGACAGAGACUACCGGUCAUCUCUCACAUCACUGAAGACAUCGCCCUCAUCUCAUCAGGCAACCACUCGGAAACCAUCUCCUUCUACAUCCUCGACUCUCCUCUUGCCACCCCAACUUAAACUAGUCCUCGGUCACCCCUGGCUCCUCUUACACAACCCCAAGAUAGACUGGCAAUUAAAUUCCAUCCUGACCUGGAGUAACAAAUGUCAUGAGUCUUGUCUAGUG
rnacentral:lncRNA from 1 species